rnacentral:rRNA from 1 species
UAGUCCACGCCGUAAACGAUGUCAACUAGCCGUCGGAUCCAUUUAAGGGUUUGGUGGCGAAGCUAACGCGAUAAGUUGACCGCCUGGGGAGUACGGCCGCAAGGUUAAAACUCAAAGGAAUUGACGGGGGCCCGCACAAGCGGUGGAUUAUGUGGUUUAAUUCGAAGCAACGCGCAGAACCUUACCUGGGCUUGAAAUCCGGAGAAUUUUAUAGAGAUAUAGAAGUGCCCUUCGGGGAAUUCCGUGACAGGCGCUGCAUGGCUGUCGUCAGCUCGUGUUGUGAAAUGUUGGGUUAAGUCUCGCAACGAGCGCAACCCUCGUCCUUAGUUGCCAGCAUUAAGUUGGGCACUCUAGGGAGACUGCCUGGGUUAACCAGGAGGAAGGUGGGGAUGACGUCAAGUCCUCAUGGCCCUUAUGUCCAGGGGCUACACACGUAAUACAAUGGCUAGUACAGAGGGGAAGCGAACCAGCGAUGGGGAGC